GACGAACGCUGGCGGCGUGCUUAACACAUGCAAGUCGAACGGAAAGGCUCCAGCUUGCUGGAGUACUCGAGUGGCGAACGGGUGAGUAACACGUGGGUAAUCUGCCCUGCACUCUGGGAUAAGCCUGGGAAACUGGGUCUAAUACUGGAUAUGACCUUUCUCCUUAUGGGGUUUGGUGGAAAGUUUUUCGGUGUAGGAUGAGCCCGCGGCCUAUCAGCUUGUUGGUGGGGUGAUGGCCUACCAAGGCGACGACGGGUAGCCGGCCUGAGAGGGUGAUCGGCCACAUUGGGACUGAGAUACGGCCCAGACUCCUACGGGAGGCAGCAGUGGGGAAUAUUGCACAAUGGGCGGAAGCCUGAUGCAGCGACGCCGCGUGAGGGAUGACGGCCUUCGGGUUGUAAACCUCUUUCAGCAGGGACGAAGCGUAAGUGACGUUACCUGCAGAAGAAGCACCGGCUAACUACGUG
rnacentral:rRNA from 1 species